GAUCCGUUAGCUCAGCUGGUAGAGCAAUUCCCUUUUAAGGAAUGGGCCGUUGGUUCAAAUCCAACACGGGUCACCA
rnacentral:tRNA from 1 species